ACGGUGAGAGCUGAGUUCCGAAGGGCUAGAGGAAGACAUGCAGCGUCUGGCUACCCACCGACACGGCUUCUCCGCCGGGGUCUGGCGGCUCCUGCGGCCGAAGAUAAGGAAGACCGCGAGACGGCUCCCCGACUAUUUAGGUGCCCUUUCCCAGCUGCAGCUGGUGGCCUCCGGCCCUGGGGUGGGGAAGGUCUCCGAGCCCCUCACACUGACCUGCGCUGUCUCCGGGGUCUCCAUCACUUCUCGGGAUUACGUAUGGCACUGGCUCCGUCAGCCUCCUGGAGAAGGGCCGGAGUCCAUGGGACGGGUAUAUCUAUAUAGCGGGAGCACACACGCUCCGUCUCUCCAAGGCCAAAUCACCAUCUCUGCAGACACCGCCAAGAACCAGGUCUCCCUGACGCUCCGCUCCCUGACAGCUGCAGACACCGCCACCUAUUACUGCGCCAGGAGAGACAUGGUGACACAGAGACCGGGGGCCUGGGACACAAAGGGGGCCAGCCACACUCGUCCCCUCCCAGAGAGAAGGCACCUGACUUUGCCCUUGCGGUCCGCCCCCUUCCGCUGUCCCUUGAAGGAGACGCGUUCUCAGAGGCCACCAGGAAGCUGGAGAGAAGGAGAGAAAGAGGAAACACCUGCGCUGGUGAAUGGGCAGCAGAGACUUUGUUACAGGAGUCCGGCAGUUUCGGAAUCCCUAAUCUAGGCCUGCGAUUGCAACAGUCUCUCCUGUCUGCUGAGCAGCUGAACUGGGGAACUGAGGUUCUGGGGUUCUUUCUGACAAAUGACCGGCUAUUUCCUGGCUGCGCUAGCCCUGGCCACAUGGGAGUGUGUGUGUGUGAGAGAGAGAGACAGAGAGAGAGAGAGAGGAGAAUCUGAGACAGGUGCCCGGCCCUGAGGUGGGGCAGGUCUCCGAGCCCCUCCCGCUCACCUGCGCUGUCUCUAGGUUCUCCAUCACUGGUCAGUGUGACCGGGAAG